GAUCCUGGCUCAGGAUGAACGCUAGCUACAGGCUUAACACAUGCAAGUCGAGGGGCAGCAUGGUCUUAGCUUGCUAAGGCCGAUGGCGACCGGCGCACGGGUGAGUAACGCGUAUCCAACCUGCCUUACACUCUUGGACAGCCUUCUGAAAGGGAGGUUAAUACAAGAUGUUAUCAUGGGUAAGCAUUUUCGCAUGAUUAAAGGUUUACCGGUGUAAGAUGGGGAUGCGUUCCAUUAG
rnacentral:rRNA from 1 species